rnacentral:lncRNA from 1 species
UAAAGAAUAUUGUUUUGGUUUUGUGAUGAAGAAGCAUUGAUGAAUUUGUUCUAAAACAUUUGAAAGAUGUUGAACUAAAAUUCUCAGUUCCUGGCAAGCCCCUGAAGUUAUACAUUUGACUUUCACUUUAAGCCCAGUGAAUAUUUUAAAAACAACGCACUAACAAAGACAUAUAAAGUCUUGACUGGAAUUUAUAGCAAAUGCUUACCUUUCUCAGGGAGUUGAAAUUCAAAGCUGCAUAGGAUGUCAAGUAGAUUGGAACAAAGGAAAAAAACUAUCACAGUGAAAACCAUUCAGGAGAAAAGCGGUGUAAAUGGGAAAAAACAAAAUUACUUAAGUAGUUGCAGUGACUCGUUCUUUAAUUUGUUAGUCCUCCUGUAGUUCCUGAACAAGAAUACCUGGAUGAAAAAGAAGAAGUUAUGCUUGCUUAGGACUUUAAAAUAAAUCAGAUUAUACAUGAUGAUGUAAUCACCAAAUCAGUAUCUUACCUUACAGGAAGAGUUUCUCAUGUUUCUGAAGAGGAUCCUGAUAAUAUGACAGGACACUUGAUGAGGAUGAGGAGGAUACAUUUGCAAAAAUUACUAAAAAUAUGAGGAAUAUCUGACUAGAAGUAUGUGAACUGUAAACUAUAACGUGUAACCUUGGUUAUUAUAACAAUUUAAAGCCAACAGAAUUUAGAGUCUUAAUGUAUAUAAUUUUCUUAGUGGAGAUAGUUUUAGAGAAUACGCCAAGGAAGUUUUUAAGUAUGAAUUAAUUAUCCUUGGCUUUUAUUAGUAUCAGUUUCUGCAAGAUGUGGAGAAUGAAGCUUCAGGUUUACUCUGUAUCCAAAUCCUCAAAGGUUUGUUCUGGUCUCUACUGUCUGCCAAUCAUCAUUUAAGAUGAAACCUUCCUUCUCUUGUGUUUUAAACGGACAUUCUUGAAGAC